rnacentral:snRNA from 1 species
GGUUGAGAGGGUGAUCUGGCUGGGACAUCUGUCACCCCACUCAUGCCAGGAUUGAUUUGGCUGCUCUGGUUGGCCAGGCAGGUGUCCCCUUCCUUCCUUACUGCUGCAUGCACAUACAUCCCAAAGCUGUGUGCUUGAUUGAAGAAAACAACCGCACCCAUAGAGGAAAACUGUUACUUAGUCAAGACAAUGUGAGUAGCUCUGCUCUCCUGUUAGAACCUCUAACCAAGCUCUCAAAGCCCAUUUAUGGAAGAACAUAGCGUAGGCAAGCUUCCCAAAACUCCAGACAUAUCCACAGGAGGCACUGAAUGUGGCAGUCUACCUUUCUAA